AACGAACGCUGGCGGCAUGCCUAACACAUGCAAGUCGAACGAGACCUUCGGGUCUAGUGGCGCACGGGUGCGUAACGCGUGGGAACCUGCCCUUAGGUUCGGAAUAACUCCCCGAAAGGGGUGCUAAUACCGGAUAAUGUCUUCGGACCAAAGAUUUAUCGCCUUUGGAUGGGCCCGCGUUGGAUUAGCUAGUUGGUAGGGUAAAAGCCUACCAAGGCGACGAUCCAUAGCUGGUCUGAGAGGAUGAUCAGCCACACUGGGACUGAGACACGGCACAGACUCCUACGGGAGGCAGCAGUGGGGAAUAUUGGAAAAUGGGCGAAAGCCUGAAGCAGCAAUGACGCGAGAGUGAUGAAGGCGUUAGGGUUGUAAAGCUCUUUUACCCGGGAUGAUAAUGACAGUAACGGGAGAAUAAGCACCGGCUAACUACGUG
rnacentral:rRNA from 1 species